rnacentral:rRNA from 1 species
AUUGAACGCUGGCGGCAUGCUUUACACAUGCAAGUCGAGCGGUAACAGGCCUUCGGGUGCUGACGAGUGGCGAACGGGUGAGUAAUGCAUCGGAACGUACCCAGAGGUGGGGGAUAACGCGGCGAAAGCUGUGCUAAUACCGCAUGUGAUCUGAGGAUGAAAGCGGGGGACCGAGCAGCAAUGUUUGGCCUCGCGCCUUUGGAGCGGCCGAUGUCGGAUUAGCUAGUUGGUGGGGUAAAGGCCUACCAAGGCGACGAUCCGUAGCUGGUCUGAGAGGACGACCAGCCACACUGGGACUGAGACACGGCCCAGACUCCUACGGGAGGCAGCAGUGGGGAAUUUUGGACAAUGGGCGCAAGCCUGAUCCAGCAAUGCCGCGUGCGGGAAGAAGGCCUUCGGGUUGUAAACCGCUUUUGGCAGGAACGAAACGGUGUCCGCUAAUACCGGGCGCUAAUGACGGUACCUGCAGAAUAAGCACCGGCUAACUACGUG